rnacentral:rRNA from 1 species
UACAGGGGGUGCAAACGUUGCUCGGAAUCAUUGGGCGUAAAGCGCACGUAGGCGGUUCGUUAUGUCGGAUGUGAAAGCCCUUGGCUUAACCGAGGAAGUGCAUCCGAAACUGGCGAGCUAGAGUACGAAAGAGGAUCGCGGAAUUCCCGGUGUAGAGGUGAAAUUCGUAGAUAUUCGCAAGAACACCAGUCGGCGGAAGGCGGAGC